rnacentral:rRNA from 1 species
GAUGAACGCUAGCGGCAGGCUUAACACAUGCAAGUCGCGGGGUAUAGGUCUUCGGACCUAGAGACCGGCGCACGUGUGCGUAACGCGUAUGCAAUCUCCCUGUUGCAGAGGGAUAGCUCAGAGAAAUCUGGAUUAAUACCUCAUAGUAUAACACAAUCGCAUGAUUGAGUUAUUAAAGUCACAUCGGAAACAGAUGAGCAUGCGGCCCAUUAGCAAGAAGGUAAGGUAACGGCUUACCAUGGCUACGAUGAGUAGGGGUCCUGAGAGGGAGAUCCCCCACACUGGUACUGAGACGCGGACCAGACUCCUACGGGAAGCAGCAGUGAGGAAUAUUGGUCAAUGGACGCAAGUCUGAACCAGCCAUGGCGCGUGCAGGAUGACGGUCCUAUGGAUUGUAAACUGCUUUUGUACAGGAAGAAACACUCCUUCGUGAAGGAACUUGACGGUACUGUAAGAAUAAGGAUCGUCUAACUCCGUGCCAGCAGCCGCGGUAA